rnacentral:rRNA from 1 species
UACGUAGGGGGCAAGCGUUGUCCGGAAUCAUUGGGCGUAAAGCGCGUGUAGGCGGUCCGGUAAGUCGGUUGUGAAAGUCCAGGGCUCAACCCUGGGAUGCCGAUCGAUACUGCCGGACUAGAGUCCGGAAGAGGCGAGUGGAAUUCCCGGUGUAGCGGUGAAAUGCGCAGAUAUCGGGAGGAACACCAAUGGCGAAGGCAGCUCGCUGGGACGGUACUGACGCUGAGGUGCGAAAGCGUGGGGAGCAAACAGG